rnacentral:rRNA from 1 species
UGGGGAAUCUUGGACAAUGGGGGCAACCCUGAUCCAGCCAUGCCGCGUGAGUGAUGAAGGCCUUAGGGUCGUAAAGCUCUUUCGCCUGUGAAGAUAAUGACGGUAGCAGGUAAAGAAACCCCGGCUAACUCCGUGCCAGCAGCCGCGGUAAUACGGAGGGGGUUAGCGUUGUUCGGAAUUACUGGGCGUAAAGCGCACGUAGGCGGAUCGGAAAGUUGGGGGUGAAAUCCCGGGGGCUCAACCCCGGAACUGCCUCCAAAACUAUUGGUCUAGAGUUCGAGAGAGGUGAGUGGAAUUCCAAGUGUAGAGGUGAAAUUCGUAGAUAUUUGGAGGAACACCAGUGGCGAAGGCGGCUCACUGGCUCGAUACUGACGCUGAGGUGCGAAAGUGUGGGGAGCAAACAGGAUUAGAUACCCUGGUAGUCCACACCGUAAAACGAUGAAUGCCAGUCGUCGGGUAGCAUGCUAUUCGGUGACACACCUAACGGAUUAAGCAUUCCGGCCUGGGGAGUACGGUCGCAAGAUU